UGGGGAAUAUUGGGCAAUGGGGGGAACCCUGACCCAGCAACGCCGCGUGGAGGAAGAAGGUUUUCGGAUCGUAAACUCCUGUCCUUGGAGACGAGUAGAAGACGGUAUCCAAGGAGGAAGCCCCGGCUAACUACGUGCCAGCAGCCGCGGUAAUACGUAGGGGGCAAGCGUUGUCCGGAAUUACUGGGUGUAAAGGGAGCGCAGGCGGACCGGCAAGUUGGAAGUGAAAACUAUGGGCUCAACCCAUAAAUUGCUUUCAAAACUGCUGGCCUUGAGUAGUGCAGAGGUAGGUGGAAUUCCCGGUGUAGCGGUGGAAUGCGUAGAUAUCGGGAGGAACACCAGUGGCGAAGGCGGUCUACUGGGCACCAACUGACGCUGAGGCUCGAAAGCAUGGGUAGCAAACAGGAUUAGAUACCCUGGUAGUCCAUGCCGUAAACGAUGAUUACUAGGUGUUGGGGGAUUGACCCCCUCAGUGCCGCAGUUAACACAAUAAGUAAUCCACCUGGGGAGUACGACCGCAAGGUUGAAACUCAAAGGAAUUGACGGGGGCCCGCACAAGCAGUGGAGUAUGUGGUUUAAUUCGAAGCAACGCGAAGAACCUUACCAGGUCUUGACAUCCGAUGCAUAGCACAGAGAUGUGUGAAAUCCUUCGGGACAUCGAGACAGGUGGUGCAUGGUUGUCGUCAGCUCGUGUCGUGAGAUGUUGGGUUAAGUCCCGCAACGAGCGCAACCCUUAUUGCCAGUUACUACGUUAAGAGGACUCUGGCGAGACUGCCGUUGACAAAACGGAGGAAGGUGGGGAUGACGUCAAAUCAUCAUGCCCUUUAUGACCUGGGCUACACACGUACUACAAUGGCGUUAAACAAAGAGAAGCAAGACCGCGAGGUGGAGCAAAACUCAAAAACAACGUCUCAGUUCAGAUUGCAGGCUGCAACUCGCCUGCAUGAAGUCGGAAUUGCUAGUAAUCGCGGAUCGGCAUGCCGCGGUGAAUACGUUCCC
rnacentral:rRNA from 1 species